rnacentral:rRNA from 1 species
GACGAACGCUGGCGGCGUGCUUAACACAUGCAAGUCGAACGGAAAGGCCCUGCUUUUGUGGGUUGCUCGAGUGGCGAACGGGUGGGUAACACGUGAGUAACCUGCCCUUGACUUUGGGAUAACUUCGGGAAACUGGGGCUAAUACCGGAUAGGAGCUCCUGCUGCAUGGUGGGGGUUGGAAAGUUUCGGCGGUUGGGGAUGGACUCGCGGCUUAUCAGCUUGUUGGUGGGGUAGUGGCUUACCAAGGCUUUGACGGGUAGCCGGCCUGAGAGGGUGACCGGCCACAUUGGGACUGAGAUACGGCCCAGACUCCUACGGGAGGCAGCAGUGGGGAAUAUUGCACAAUGGGCGGAAGCCUGAUGCAGCAACGCCGCGUGCGGGAUGACGGCCUUCGGGUUGUAAACCGCUUUCGCCUGUGACGAAGCGUGAGUGACGGUAAUGGGUAAAGAAGCACCGGCUAACUACGUG